rnacentral:rRNA from 1 species
GAUGAACGCUGGCGGCGUGCCUAAUACAUGCGAGUCGAGCGAACAGACGAGGAGCUUGCUCCUCUGACGUUAGCGGCGGACGGGUGAGUAACACGUGGAUAACCUACCUAUAAGACUGGGAUAACUUCGGGAAACCGGAGCUAAUACCGGAUAAUAUAUUGAACCGCAUGGUUCAAUAGUGAAAGACGGUUUUGCUGUCACUUAUAGAUGGAUCCGCGCCGCAUUAGCUAGUUGGUAAGGUAACGGCUUACCAAGGCGACGAUGUGUAGCCGACCUGAGAGGGUGAUCGGCCACACUGGAACUGAGACACGGUCCAGACUCCUACGGGAGGCAGCAGUAGGGAAUCUUCCGCAAUGGGCGAAAGCCUGACGGAGCAACGCCGCGUGAGUGAUGAAGGUCUUCGGAUCGUAAAACUCUGUUAUUAGGGAAGAACAAAUGUGUAAGUAACUAUGCACGUCUUGACGGUACCUAAUCAGAAAGCCACGGCUAACUACGUG